GGUUAAGCGACUAAGCGUACACGGUGGAUGCCCUGGCAGUCAGAGGCGAUGAAGGACGUGCUAAUCUGCGAUAAGCGUCGGUAAGGUGAUAUGAACCGUUAUAACCGGCGAUUUCCGAAUGGGGAAACCCAGUGUGUUUCGACACACUAUCAUUAACUGAAUCCAUAGGUUAAUGAGGCGAACCGGGGGAACUGAAACAUCUAAGUACCCCGAGGAAAAGAAAUCAACCGAGAUUCCCCCAGUAGCGGCGAGCGAACGGGGAGGAGCCCAGAGCCUGAAUCAGUGUGUGUGUUAGUGGAAGCGUCUGGAAAGGCGCGCGAUACAGGGUGACAGCCCCGUACACAAAAAUGCACAUAUUGUGAGCUCGAUGAGUAGGGCGGGACACGUGGUAUCCUGUCUGAAUAUGGGGGGACCAUCCUCCAAGGCUAAAUACUCCUGA
rnacentral:rRNA from 1 species